UUAGUAACGGCGAGUGAAGCGGCAAAAGCUCAAAUUUGAAAUCUGGCACCUUCGGUGUCCGAGUUGUAAUUUGAAGAAGGUAACUUUGGAGUUGGCUCUUGUCUAUGUUCCUUGGAACAGGACGUCACAGAGGGUGAGAAUCCCGUGCGAUGAGAUGCCCAAUUCUAUGUAAAGUGCUUUCGAAGAGUCGAGUUGUUUGGGAAUGCAGCUCUAAGUGGGUGGUAAAUUCCAUCUAAAGCUAAAUAUUGGCGAGAGACCGAUAGCGAACAAGUACAGUGAUGGAAAGAUGAAAAGAACUUUGAAAAGAGAGUGAAAAAGUACGUGAAAUUGUUGAAAGGGAAGGGCUUGAGAUCAGACUUGGUAUUUUGCGAUCCUUUCCUUCUUGGUUGGGUUCCUCGCAGCUUACUGGGCCAGCAUCGGUUUGGAUGG
rnacentral:rRNA from 1 species